rnacentral:rRNA from 1 species
GACGAACGCUGGCGGCGUGCCUAACACAUGCAAGUCGAACGGAGAGAUACGAGAGCUUGCUCUUGUAAAUCUUAGUGGCGAACGGGUGAGUAACGCGUAAAACAACCUGCCCAACGGAUGGGGACAACAGACGGAAACGACUGCUAAUACCCAAUAGACUCCGGUUUCGCAUGAAACCGACAGGAAAGGUGGCCUCUCGAAGAAGCUACCGCCGCAGGAGGGGUUUGCGUUUGAUUAGUUAGUUGGUGGGGUAACGGCCUACCAAGACGAUGAUCAAUAGCCGGUCUGAGAGGAUGAACGGCCACACUGGAACUGAGACACGGUCCAGACUCCUACGGGAGGCAGCAGUGGGGAAUCUUCCGCAAUGGACGCAAGUCUGACGGAGCAACGCCGCGUGAGUGAAGAACGGCCUCGGUU